GACCACUCCAGUGGCCUAGUGGUUAGAGCAUUUGCCUCAGAUGCAGAAGCUUAUGGGUUCAAACCCCUGGCUGAGUCA